UGGAAUCGGAUAAAUACAGGCUGAUCCCGGAACGCGACACGUUUGGGCCACUAUGGCGGAUUCUAAAACAUUGUGUACGGUGAUCGCUAUCUGGGCGGAUAUAUCGCCUGAAAUUGUUUAAGCAUUUUUUUGCAUCACUAUAGAUUCAUUUGGGACUGACUGUGCUAAGUUAAUAAAACAUAGUAACAUAUUGGGAUAUAAACCGGAAUACAGAUGUGUGCGGCAUAUAGCGGACUCGCCUCCUAUAAUAUUAUAGGAAGAAACAACACAGGGCGAAAAAAAGCCGGCUCGGAUGCCUCUCCGCCUACCACUUCCGAGAUAAUAGCGUGAUAUGUAAAAAAUGUUUGACUUAACGUCUACCCAAAACUUAAAACCUAACACGAACGAUUCUUACAAAAUGAAGAUAUACCAAAAAUAUUUUCUCCUAACUAUUCGACCUACAUAAUAUCUAUAAGUACGUAUAGGUAAUAUGGUGUUCGAGUUUUAUUCCGUCUAUAAAAUUCGCCAGCGCCGAGGCGGUGCACUGAAGUAUUAAGACGUGACAUACGCUCACAAAAGGGCCCCUACCACGAGCUAGUUAAUAUAACACCUAUGCAAAUACGAUUGAAAUGGGAAAUAUUGCAUAUCAUUCUUUAUAAAGUUUUAAAUAAAAUACUUUUUUCGCUGGCAGCUGUUUAUCGUUUAUCGUUUAGUAAUACUAAUAUUUAAGGACCUCACUAGAAAGAUGUUCUCUGUGAUUCUGAGUAUGUUUUCGUCUUAGUAAGGUUAAUAUGUGAAAUUAUGGAAGACUGGUAGGUACAAUCUUAACGGUUUUCUGGAAAGGCGAUUAGAGAACAACUGCAGCAAUUAAAAAUAAACCAAAUAAUGUCGAACGAGGAGUGAGGUAACAUCUGCCUUUAGUUGGCAAAAUUAUGCUUGCCUGCUUUAAUGAACAAUUCUGCCGUGCUAAGCUCAAAAGCAGUAUCUCAAAAAAAAUCAGAAUCCUGAUUUUUAUGUCGUCAGAUAGCUUAAAGAAAUACCCAUCCAAUGAACUU